rnacentral:rRNA from 1 species
UACGUAGGGGGCAAGCGUUGUCCGGAUUUAUUGGGCGUAAAGAGCGUGUAGGCGGCUUUGCAAGUCCGUUGUGAAAACUCGAGGCUCAACCUCGAGACGCCGGUGGAAACUGCAAAGCUAGAGUCCGGAAGAGGAGAGUGGAAUUCCUGGUGUAGCGGUGAAAUGCGCAGAUAUCAGGAAGAACACCCGUGGCGAAGGCGGCUCUCUGGGACGGUACUGACGCUGAGACGCGAAAGCGUGGGGAGCAAAUAGG